CCUUGCUUUGAAAUCCGUGCCUCACUUGUGAACCAGACUUUGAACCGGGUUUAAACUGUGAACCGGUUCCACCUACUCCAUGAAUUGGGUUUGAGUGAAUGGGUUUUGGUUAGGGUCUGAAUUUGAGUCAGGAGUUUGGGUUAGCCUGAUGUGAGUACAAUCUGGUUCGUCAAAAUUUGAUCUGAUCUGGUCUGAUCAGAUCUGGUUUGGGUUGGGCUAGGGAACUGUUUUUGGGCUGAGUUGGGCCUGAUUGGAUCUGUGGGCUGGGUUGGUUUGGGCCCGAGAUCUGAUCUGGACCUGUAAUCUGGUUUGGUUCAGUUGGGCCUAAUCUGUGUUGGGCCACAAUUGGUUUUGGGUUAAAGGAUUUUGAUUUUUGGGAUUUAGUCUAUUUAUUCUUGGAUCUUUGAACUUAGGAAUUUAAGGGAUUGGAAUUAGUUUAAAUUAUGUUUCUAAAUUAAUUAAAUAAUUAAUAUUUAUGUUUAAUCAGGGGUUCGUGAUAUCUGUGGCAGGGAUUCUUAAGCUAGCCCAGGUGAUGAUAUAUGAUUAUGGGGAUUACGGGACGGAGUGAUCAUGAUGUAGUUAGCUAGUGGAUAUAGACUUUCUCUUUUGACUUAUGUAUAUAUGGACAUUUGAUCUGAAAACUGGAAUUUAUUUUUAAUUA